UGAUGACGAGACGCUAAGGCGUUGAAGCAGUGUAUGUCAGACUUCCAAGAAAAGCUCGCAAUGUCACAAAUAAAAAUGCCUGUACCAUAACCGACACAGGUGGGUAGGUAGAGUAUACUAAGGGGCGCGAGAUAACUCUCUCUAAGGAACUCGGCAAAAUGACUCCGUAACUUCGGGAGAAGGAGUGCCUUAUUUAUAAGGUUGCAAUAACAAGAUCCAAGCAACUGUUUAUCAAAAACACAGGUCUCCGCUAAGUCGUAAGACGAUGUAUGGGGGCCGACGCCUGCCCAGUGCCAGAAGGUUAAAGAAGUUGGUUAGUGUAUGCGAAGCUGAUGACUGAAGCCCUGGUGAACGGCGGCCGUAACAAUAACGGUCCUAAGGUAGCGAAAUUCCUUGUCGGGUAAGUUCCGACCCGCACGAAAGGCGUAAUGAUUUGGAUACUGUCUCGGAGAGAGGCUCGGUGAAAUAGACUUGUCUGUGAAGAUGCGGACUACCUGCACCAGGACAGAAAGACCCUAUGAAGCUUUACUGUAACUUGAAAUUGGAAUUGGACUUUGCUUGCGCAGUAUAGGUGGGAAGCGUUGAAAAUAUUCUUGCGGGAGUAUUGGAGCUAUCAGUGAGAUACCACUCUUGUAAUGUUAGAUUUCUAACUUUGAACCAUAAUCUGGUCAAAGAACAGUUUCAGGUGGGCAGUUUGACUGGGGCGGUCGCCUCCCAAAUGGUAACGGAGGCGUACAAAGGUUUCCUCUGAACGGAUAGAAAUCGUAUCUAGAGUGUAAAGGCAUAAGGAAGCUUGACUGUGAGACCUACAAGUCGAGCAGGGACGAAAGUCGGUCUUAGUGAUCUGACGGUACUGAGUGGAAAGGCCGUCACUCAACGGAUAAAAGUUACCCUAGGAUAACAGGCUGAUCUCCCCCAAGAGUUCACAUCGACGGGGAGGUUUGGCACCUCGAUGUCGGCUCAUCGCAUCCUGGGGCGGUAGUACGUCCCAAGGGUUGGGCUGUUCGCCCAUGAAAGCGGUACGCGAGCUGGGUUCAGAACGUCGUGAGACAGUUCGGUCCAUAUCCGGUGUAGGCGCUAGAAUAUUGAGAGGAGCCUUCUUUAGUACGAGAGGACCGAGAAGGACACACCGCUGGUGUACCAGUUAUCGUGCCAACGGUAAACGCUGGGUAGCUAUGUGUGGAGUGGAUAACCGCUGAAAGCAUCUAAGUGGGAAGCCCACCUCGAGAUGAG
rnacentral:rRNA from 1 species